rnacentral:rRNA from 1 species
UGGUCAAGUUAUUAAGGGUGCAGGGCGGAUGCCUUGGCACUAGGAGCCGAUGAAGGACGUGAUAAGCUGCGAUAAGCUUCGGGGAGUUGCACGUAAACUUUGAUCCGAAGAUUUCCGAAUGAGGAAACUCACUUAGAGUAAUGUCUAAGUAUCAUUAAGUGAAUACAUAGCUUAAUGAGGGGAACUCAGGGAACUGAAACAUCUAAGUACCGGAAGGAAGAGAAAGAAAUUCGAUUCCGUAAGUAGCGGCGAGCGAACGCGGAUUAGCCCAAACCAAUAAAGUUUUCUUUAUUGGGGUUGCGGACAUAUCAUAACGAAGAGGUAUCGUAAUUGAAGAGG